rnacentral:rRNA from 1 species
UACGUAGGGGGCAAGCGUUGUCCGGAAUCAUUGGGCGUAAAGAGCGUGUAGGCGGUCCGGUAAGUCGGCUGUGAAAGUCCAAGGCUCAACCUUGGGAUGCCGGUCGAUACUGCCGGACUAGAGUUCGGAAGAGGCGAGUGGAAUUCCCGGUGUAGCGGUGAAAUGCGCAGAUAUCGGGAGGAACACCUAUGGCGAAGGCAGCUCGCUGGGACGUUACUGACGCUGAGGCACGAAAGCGUGGGGAGCAAACAGG